rnacentral:rRNA from 1 species
AAAACGACUCUCGGCAACGGAUAUCUCGGCUCUCGCAUCGAUGAAGAACGUAGCGAAAUGCGAUACUUGGUGUGAAUUGCAGAAUCCCGUGAACCAUCGAGUCUUUGAACGCAAGUUGCGCCCGAAGCCGUCAGGCCGAGGGCACGNNNGCCUGGGCGUCACGC